AAUCUGUUAACCGAACGGCAUGGGAAGGCCGGUCAGAGAGUGUGAGAACCACGUAGGUGAAAACGGAGAGAGCUGCGCAGGAUCCAGAGUACGGCCAGACACGUGAAACCUGGUCGGAAUACGGGGGGACCACCCUCCAACCCUAAAUACUACCCAGUGACCGAUAGCGUAUAGUACUGUGAAGGAAAGGUGAAAAGCACCCCGGGAGGGGAGUGAAAAAGAACCUGAAACCCUGUGCCUACAAGCACCUAGAGCGCGUCAAAGCGUGAUAGGGUACUUUUUGUAGAACGGUCCGGCGAGCGAUUGUAUGCAGCAAGGUUAAGGACUUAAGGUCUGGAGCCGAAGCGAAAGCGAGUUUGAAAAGGGCGUUAAGUUGCAUAUAAUGGGCCCGAAACCGGGUGACCUACCCAUGGUCAGGUUGAAGUGGAAGUAAAAUUCCAUGGAGGACCGAACCGACCUCCGUUGAAAAGGCGGCGGAUGAACUGUGGGUAGCGGAGAAAUUCCAAUCGAACCCGGAGAUAGCUGGUUCUCCCCGAAAUAGUUUUAGGACUAGCCUCAAGUUAGAUACCUGGAGGUAAAGCACUGAAUAGCCUAGCGGCCGAGAGGUUAGCGAAGCUUAUCAAACUCAGAAUGCCAGAGUAUUGAUGCUUGGGAGUCAGACAGUGUCAGAUAAAUGUCAUUGUCAAAAGGGAAACAGCCCAGAUCUACAGCUAAGGUCCCAAAGUCAGGUUAAGUGGAAAACGAUGUGAAGAUACGUAGACAACCAGGAUGUUGGCUCAGAAGCAGCCACACAUUCAAAGAGUGCGUAAUAGCUCACUGGUCGAGCGUCUUUGCGCGGAGAAUUUAACGGGGCUAAACCUGACACCGAAGCUUAGGCAAUCCAGCAAUGGAUUGGGUAGGGGAGCGUUGUAUACGCGGAGAAACAGUAGCGUAAGCGGCUGUGGAGUGUAUAGAAGUGAGAAUGCCGGAAUGAGUAGCGCGAAUGCAGUGAGAAUCUGCAUGGCCGAAAGCCUCAGGUUUUUGGAGGAAGGUUCGUCCGCUCCAAGUUAGUCGGGAGCUAAGGUGAGGCCGGAAGGCGUAGCCGAUGCACAGACGGUAGAGAUUCCGUCACCACCAAAAGAGUUAAGCACAGGGACACAUUUGAAGUCUCGGAGCCGGGUGUUGGUUCCGGUAGCGAUCGAGGGAAGUUAGUACCGAAGUCUGGGAUGGAAGAUGGCGAGAAAAGCUGUGUGUAUUUCUGCGGUGCCCGUACCGCAAACCGACACAGGUAGGUAGGAAGAAGAUUCUAAGGCCAACGGGAGAAGGGUUGUUAAGGAAC
rnacentral:rRNA from 1 species